GGCAAGUGUGUGGCUGGUCACAGGAAUUCCUAGCUGGUGGCUUUCCCCAUUCGGUUUUAGAAUCUUACAUGGCUGCUGAUGGGAAUGCUCUUGUUCCCUUGCGUCAGAAGACCAAACAGAAAAGUCAAGGGAUUGUUGUUAUGAGUCGACGGAGGAUAUCGUGCAAGGACCUGGGACUAGUUGAUUACCAGGGGUGGCUCUACAAGAAAAAGGAAAAAGGACCUUUCAUUGGCAACAAAUGGAAAAAGUUCUGGUUCGUGCUGAAGGGAUCAUCGUUAUACUGGUACAGCAGCCAAUUGGCAGAGAAAGCUGAAGGAUUCAUCAACCUGCCAGACUUCACUGUGGACCGAGCGAGUGAAUGCAAGAAAAAGUAUGCUAUUAAGGUCAACCACCCACAGAUCAAGACAUUUUAUUUUGCAGCAGAGAAUGUGGAGGAAAUGAAUAGGUGGCUAAAUAAACUGGGGCUAGCUGUAAUUCCUCAGGCAUCCAAUGGAAAGAAUGAAGAAGAAUGCUAUAGUGAGAGUGAACAUGAAGAUCCAGAAAUAGCAGGAGAGACUCCACUCCCUCCCUACACAGAACAGCCACCUCCUCCUCAUUUGGCCCAACAGCAGUCCUUAUUGAUCUCACCGCUAUCAAGUGAAGCAUCCUGUUCUCUCUCCUCCCUGGAAAGCACCAUGAAGUCACAAGAUUCCUCAUCUUCCUUGCUAGCCAAAAUGGCUCUUCCAGAGAGACAAUCUUGGCUUGACAUAGUUAACACGGAAGAAGUUGAUCAGCCUUUAUCCUUCUGUGUCCAGAUUCAUGCUGAUGAUCAUGCAAUGGCAGACUGUAGUGAAAUGGCAGAAAGUUGGCUUCUCAAAUCUAAUAAUAGAUCUCAAAACUCUUUAUUACGUGAAAACACAACUUCAUCAGACAGCAGCAGGGAUCACCUAACUGUGCCAGAAGAUUUGAUAGGAACAAAGACCGUGUCCAAAGAACAGGCCAAAUGCUCCGAAGAUGAAAUGGAGCGACUUUACAAGUCAUUAGAACAAGCAAGUUUGUCUCCCAUCGGGGACCGUCGACCUUCAACCAAAAAAGAGCUCAGAAAGUCCUUCGCCAAACGGAGCAAAAACCCCUCCAUGAAUGAGAAACUCCACCAAAUCCGAAUGCUGAAUAGCACAUUAAAGUGUAAAGAGCAUGACCUGGCCAUGAUUAACCAAUUGCUGGAGGAUCCUGAGCUGACAGCAAGGAAGUAUAGAGAAUGGAAGAAUAUAAAUACAAUGUUGAUCCAGGAGAUCUAUCAGCAGCAGGAUGCCCUGGCUGUGCCAGAAGGGAAUAGCAAGGAGCCAUAGAUGAAUCCACCACCUUUCUUCAAUUGAAAACGCUAUCUGAGGACAGUGGAACCUGCAGUACAUGACAGGAUUCCUCCCUGUCCCUCUUUACCUACAGAUGCUUUAAGCUACUACAGUUUCAGGUUUUGUUUUUUCCAAGUGCUUAUCUCUUCCCUUUUAAAAGGAAAACAACCCAUUCACCAAAGCAUUAUUUCCUCUCUCCAAACUCAUUUCAUGCCAAUAAAAUGGAACUCAAAAAUUAAAAAAAUAUGCCUUCUCUGGGUACAUGUCUGAGGCAAACAUUUUCUGAAGCAGAGAGGAAAUGGAUUGACAUCCAAGAAUGGCUGAUAUUUCAUCAGAAGUAAACCAAGCACACACAGACCUGAAAGUCACAGAGGAAUGUACAUAUUGUAGAUACUAGACCUUCAGGGUCAUUUUAUUCAUGUAACCUAUUGAUGAAAGGAACUUCUUAAAAGCUAUGAAAAUGCUAACAAGAUACAAUCCUUUCUCCUACCACUUGUCUCUUCAAGUUUUUAGGUUCCGCUGUCCUUUGGUGGCAUGAAGGGUAACUGCUCAUCAACUUCUUUUGAUCCACUGCUGCAUUUUUUUAGUCUGUCUUCUUAAAGACAGUGAAUUACAUUCGCUUCUGCUAGCACAUGAUGACACAAACUGCAUGAGUGGUGAAGACAAUGUUGCCACUGCUAUCCACUCUUGGGGGGUUCUACUGAAGGAGAGCAGCGUUCAACCCUGCAGUGGGGGGAUUGUGCCAACAGAAACCAUAUACAAUGUUGCACAUAACUAGAAAAAAUGUGCAUUACUUUCAUUGUCCGCCUGUAUGGCCUUUGUUUGCUAUUUCACCUUGAGGCCAAUUGUCAGUUGAUAUUGUCUCUGUAUUAUUAUUCAGCUUAGAAAUUCUCAAGCAAAGGAAAUUCAGAUUCAAUCAUCCUGUGAUUUGAACCACAUUUUCUUACACUGUAAAAUGCUGAAUUACAUUGCUAAUACUUUUGGCUGGGAGCAGUAACUCUAGAAUGCUCACAUCCCAUCUCUGCAGACACAACUCAGAGCCUCCAAGAGUGACACAAAUGAUGGCUUGCUGUGACUGAGAGACCCACAUAGCUUGCUUACCAAGGAAACAUGGUUUCCUCAGUCUUCAGGAAAUUAGAUGGGCAUUGAGGAUAUAGGAAGGAAUGGCUUGUAAAACAACACUGUCCAUGUAAGAACAAGGGUACGAAGUAGAACUGACUGACUGGCACACACAGUUAAUUUAGACUCUCUCCUUGCUCAAGAAACAUCAGUGAGCUGUGUGUGAUUUCCUUGAAUUUGUUGUUGCAGUUUAACCAAAGACAUAUAUUUAUUUUCUGUGCUGCUGGGUGGAUUGAUCACAAACAUUUGGCUGGAAGUAUGUUAUUUGAAACUCUAGCAGUCAGCAUGAAGGAUCAAGCUGAGCUUCAUGUUAUAUCACCUUAAUGUUUCCUUUCUUGUGAGCUUGUUACCUAUCAGCUCUGUGUUCUUGGGGAACCAGGGCACAGUACCCAGCCUGACUCAUGAAAGACCGUAUGAGAACACAAGUGACACAAGCAGUACUUUGAAAGAAUUACAGACACCCCUCUCCCAGAAGAGUAAUGUUAAUAAAUGAGCAUGCCCCAAAGUAAGGGGCAAAUCUGGUAACAAGCUGGCCAAGAAGGUUAGCAGUGAUCAGAAUAUAGAGAUAAGGGGUUAA